CUAAGGGGUGGGGCAUUUGUCAGACGCUGAGGGCCCCAGAGAACCCUGUACAGGACAUGUUGUGCGUCACGGACUAACAAAACCGGAACAUCAACAUUUUUAAGGUAGUCAUUCUACAGGAGAAUUCUGGCACGUACGUACGCCACAACUUUUCAACAGGAUGAAAACGACCCUGGUGUUGCUUCUUGUUGCCUUGGUCAUCUCAUCUGAGAUGAUGACUGCGGAAAGCUUCACUUCUGGCAGUCAUGGCAAUAUCCCAGGGCCUUAUGGAAGAGCUGUCGAGAAGGAGCGAGCCCGCAGAGGCGUGUCUCCCGUUGAGGCUCAGAAGCUGAAGGCGCUGUUGGCCCGCCGCCAGGCUGAGGCUGGACGCCGUCAGUAUGAAGCAGGACCUCCGGGACCUCCAGCUCCACAGUGGUGAAAGAUAAGAAGGAGGGCAGUCGGAGUGACCACAUGACCAUCACGUGACCUGCAGUCAAGCUCUGCCAAGCUCCUAUUUGCUCAUAAGCUCCUAAAUCAUCCACUAUAGCUACAUGUAUAUGCUAAUUUCUGUAACAACAGCAAAGUUAAUCUACUAGUAUUUGUCUUUGUAGUACAUGUAUAAGAUCAUGGGUAUGCUAUGUAAAACGCACAUACAGCCAUUUAGCUACGCCACAGUAUUUUGUGAUAAAGAUUUGAGUUAAGUUAAGUUCUGGAGCUGUCUGUGCUGAUAUCUUGUGAUGGAAACUGAAAAUAAAUCCAUGAAACUGCAAGAACCUUGUGUUAUUUUGCGUAGGAUGAUGUGCACUUUGUAGAUCUCACAAUGAUGACUGCCCUCUCAAUUCUGCUUUCUGGUCACUCUCGUGUUCUUAUAUGAUCAAGCUAGCUUGAUGUGUAAAGAUAUUCAACUCCUUGCUUGAACCAUCA